CCUAACCCCUAGUUAACCCUAGUCCAGGUUAGUCCUACUCUAACCCCUAGUUAACCCUAGCCCAGGUUAGUCCUAACCCCUAGUUAACUCUAGCCCAGGUUAGUCCUAACCCCUAGUUAACCCUAGUCCAGGUUAGUCCUACUCUAACCCCUAGUUAACCCUAGCCCAGGUUAGUCCUAACCCCUAGUUAACUCUAGCCCAGGUUAGUCCUAACCCCUAGUUAACCCUAGUCCAGGUUAGUCCCAACCCCUAGUUAACCCUAGUCCAGGUUAGUCCCAACCCCUAGUUAACCCUAGUCCAGGUUAGUCCCAACCCCUAGUUAACCCUAGUCCAGGUUAGUCCCAACCCCUAGUUAACCCUAGUCCAGGUUAGUCCCAACCCCUAGUCCAGGUUAGUCCCAACCCCUAGUCCAGGUUAGUCCCAACCCCUAGUUGACCCUAGUCCAGGUUAGUCCCAACCCCUAGUUGACCCUAGUCCAGGUUAGUCCCAACCCCUAGUUGACCCUAGUCCAGGUUAGUCCCAACCCCUAGUUGACCCUAGUCCAGGUUAGUCCCAACCCCUAGUUGACCCUAGUCCAGGUUAGUCCCAACCCCUAGUUGACCCUAGUCCAGGUUAGUCGGUGUGCUCCAACUUCAUAGGAUAAUAAAUCCUCUAGCUGCUGGGACAUUAGUGUCAGGUGUGUUUCUAUUCUAACUCCCACAGAAGAGAGGAGGUCCUCCUAUGGGACUUGUCCGACUGGGCAGAACUGAUUAUCUGUUU